rnacentral:lncRNA from 1 species
AGAAGCUCCCUGUGCCCAUGGGGCCAUCUCGGCUUGUCCGUGGCCCUCGGCCCCAGGGCAUGCGUUCCCCCUACCGCAGGCCAGGUAUGGGCUGGCCCAGGCCCCGAUUUCCCAGGAUGUUCAAGUGUAGCCGCAGAAGAUAUCAACAGGGUCUCCGAGGUCGAACUGCCAGCAGUGCAGCCAUCAAUCCUGCCACCAGGGCCAUGGGUAUCAACAACACCCACACUGACACCACCAUAGUGUGGAUCUUCCCACCUCAAGCCAGGG